rnacentral:rRNA from 1 species
UGCGUAGGCGGGGCAAUUAAUCAGUGGUGAAAUCCUGCGGCUUAACCGUAGAACUGCCAUUGAUACUGUUGCUCUUGAGUAUAGUUGAGGUGGGCGGAAUGUGUAAUGUAGCGGUGAAAUGCAUAGAUAUUACACAGAACACCAAUUGCGAAGGCAGCUCACUAAGCUAUAACUGACGCUGAGGCACGAAAGCGUGGGGAGCGAACAGGAUUAGAUACCCUGGUAGUCC